UCCCCGGCCCCAGGACCGAACGCUCGGACUCUCCGGCUGAUGCGGGCGACUCCCCGGACAAGCUGAUAAAACUUUUGUAUGCUAAGAGGCAACCCCGAGCCCGAACCCCGAACAACCCCUCCCCACCACCCAAAAAAGAAACAGGCCCUGGAACUGAACAGGAGAUCUUCCAACUGAAAUUAUGCAGAUCUAUUUCUCCUUGGGUCACAUACGACAUUUGAUUAUCCGUGGAUGCUUAUAAAAACUGCAACAUGCCACGAAACAGCUGCAAAUGUGCCUUUAGCACGGAUUUCGUACCUGAGAGUGAUGAUCAUAAUUGUAGAAUAAAGAUUGUGGAUUAAGAUGGGAGAGAGAUGGCCGUUUGGUAAUACAGUGUUAAAGUAGGUCCCAAGAAGCUCAACAGGCGAAAGUACAAAAAAAAAUCUCCGGUUAAUCUGUUGAAACGGCAGCUGUUGGCUUUUGGAGUUUUGAAGUUUCACCUUUGACAUGUCCCUUUUCAAUCAAGACAGACCUUCAGCAACUGACCACUACAAGCCCCAUAAAAGAAGAGCAAGAAGACGCCUGCUCAAGAUGCGGCUAAAUUUACCCUUAAGAGUCUUUUCGACGUUUUGUUGGAUUAACUAAUGCCGGCCUUUAGUUCCUAGCCACUACCCUUUUGAUUUCAAAUAUGUGAUUUCUCCUCAUCCCGUACACCCCCACCCCUCCCCAGAACAAUAAAUGCACAAACGUUGGCCGCAAUGCUCCUGGACCAUUAAUAAUCAUGUACACGCGCUGGCACCUGGAGCAGCUUUACUUUAUUAACCCAAUGGGUUAUAAACAGGUCUUGUUGCAACCCAAUGUUACAAUUCUACAAUUUGUUCUUUUAUUAAAGUUUCGUGUGGUUCCUCGUGGGUCAACUGUGAGUCGGACUUUGGAAAUGCAAAAGAAAUGCUCGGCACGUGUGCAAGUCCAAUCUGUGUUAAUGUCAAUGCAUAAGUAAAUUAAUUUUGGGUCCUAAUAUUUCCAUGAAAUCGUAUUGACAGGGUUAUAUAAAGGUCGUUUCGUCCAACUAUUUAUCGCAUCUAAUCUAUUGCAUUGACUAAGAUUCCACUGAAUUAACACAAUCAAUAAUCAGAAUAUAAGUUAUUAAUUGAUAAAACUGCUGAGGAAUAUUUGAAGCGUGACAAUAGCUUGAUAAAUCAUGGUUGUUCUUAAUAGUGAUUAUUUCAUUGUUGCCAGGGAUAUAUAGCAAAUGACUACUUGAAACAAAUAUUGUUUAAUGCUUCUGCUAAGAUAGCGGCUUAAUGAUAUAACUGAUGUAAUGUAUCCAUCACAGUGCUAAGUGGGGUUUGAUUAAACAGAUAAUAGUAAGGUUGCUGCUGCGAUGAUCUGUUUUAAAUUCUUUUCAUCUGUUUGCUAUUGAUGUUUUCUUGGCUAAUCGCAUUUUGCCAUGUCAUAAUUGCUAUCAUAGUAAUUUUGUUCUGCUGAAAUAUAAGACCGAAUGAUUGAUUCCUUCUCACACUUACAUAUAUGUGUAUUAAUAUUAUAUAUAUGAGAAUUCUGAUACGUAAUUCGACACUUGCUUCGUUUACAUUUAUCAUUCGAUUCUCUCCCAUCCAAUCAAUUUGAUCAAUUUCUCGUAGAUCUGUACGAAUUCAAUCAAAUAUCAUAAUCUAUUAUGUCAUAAUUCCGUCCCUCCCGCGGCUCGCCUGCGAGAACAGGGCCACGUUUUCCAUACCCUUGUCUAGCCUCAUCCGUUAUUGUUAAUCGUAGAACAAUGGGCACAUCUGUCCCGUUUUUGCUUAGCACCUUAUCGGACCAGCGCCUGAAACAGCAACAGUGGCAUGUGUCACGCCGCGUCCCUUUCAGAAA